UGAGUAGAGUGUUGAAUUUUUUGAAACAAAAACCAUUGUACAUGUUUAGAAUGAAGUGAGUGUUGAAUAAAUUAGGUGUUGAAAAAAGAGAAGAUGAUGUGAAAUGUUUAAAGGAGAAAAUGAGAGUGUUGAAAAUGGAGAGGGUGUUGAAACCAUUGUACAUGGUCUUAGAAUUCUAAAUUUCACAUUCCAAAAUCCAUACCUUACCUUUCAACUCUAAACCCUAAGUCUAGAUUAGUUGGGGAAAUUUUAUGUUUACCAUUUUCAUGGUACCACUUUUCAUCUUUACCACUACUAAAGGGACAUUUUCAAAAAUAUCUUCUUCAUUAAGUGGCAAAAGAUUCAUAUACCCUUGUUAUCUAUAUAUAUAAUAAAUC
rnacentral:lncRNA from 1 species